rnacentral:rRNA from 1 species
GAUGAACGCUGGCGGCGUGCCUAAUACAUGCAAGUCGAGCGAACGGACGAGAAGCUUGCUUCUCUGAUGUUAGCGGCGGACGGGUGAGUAACACGUGGAUAACCUACCUAUAAGACUGGGAUAACUUCGGGAAACCGUAGCUAAUACCGGAUAAUAUAUUGAACCGCAUGGUUCAAAAGUGAAAGACGGUCUUGCUGUCACUUAUAGAUGGAUCCGCGCUGCAUUAGCUAGUUGGUAAGGUAACGGCUUACCAAGGCAACGAUGCAUAGCCGACCUGAGAGGGUGAUCGGCCACACUGGAACUGAGACACGGUCCAGACUCCUACGGGAGGCAGCAGUAGGGAAUCUUCCGCAAUGGGCGAAAGCUUGACGGAGCAACGCCGCGUGAGUGAUGAAGGUCUUCGGAUCGUAAAACUCUGUUAUUAGGGAAGAACAUAUGUGUAAGUAACUGUGCACAUCUUGACGGUACCUAAUCAGAAAGCCACGGCUAACUACGUG